UACGUAGGGGGCAAGCGUUAUCCGGAUUUAUUGGGCGUAAAGCGCGCGUAGGCGGCCUUGCAGGUCUCUUGUGAAAACUUUCGGCUUAACCGGAAGACGCCGAGGGAAACCGCAUGGCUAGAGUCUGGAAGAGGUGAGUGGAAUUCCUGGUGUAGCGGUGGAAUGCGUAGAUAUCAGGAGGAACUCCAAUAGCUAAGGCAGCUCACUGGGACAGUACUGACGCUAAGGCGCGAAAGCGUGGGGAGCAAACAGG
rnacentral:rRNA from 1 species